GCAUAUCAAUAAGCGGAGGAAAAGAAACUAACAAGGAUUCCCCUAGUAGCGGCGAGCGAAGCGGGAAGAGCUCAAAUUUAUAAUCUGGCACCUUCGGUGUCCGAGUUGUAAUCUCUAGAAAUGUUUUCCGCGUUGGACCGCACACAAGUCUGUUGGAAUACAGCGGCAUAGUGGUGAGACCCCCGUAUAUGGUGCGGACGCCCAGCGCUUUGUGAUACAUUUUCGAAGAGUCGAGUUGUUUGGGAAUGCAGCUUCAAAUUGGGUGGUAAAUUCCAUCUAAAGCUAAAUAUUGGCGAGAGACCGAUAGCGAACAAGUACCGUGAGGGAAAGAUGAAAAGCACUUUGGAAAGAGAGUUAACAGUACGUGAAAUUGUUGGAAGGGAAACGCUUGAAGUCAGACUUGCUUGCCGAGCAAUCGGUUUGCAGGCCAGCAUCAGUUUUCCGGGAUGGAUAAUGGUAAGAGAGAAGGUAGCAGUUUCGGCUGUGUUAUAGCUCUCUGCUGGAUACAUCUUGGGGGACUGAGGAACGCAGUGUGCCUUUGGCGGGGGUUUCGACCUCUUCACACUUAGGAUGCUGGUGGAAUGGCUUUAAACGACCCGUCUUGAAACACGGAC
rnacentral:rRNA from 1 species